rnacentral:rRNA from 1 species
UACGUAGGGUGCGAGCGUUGUCCGGAAUUACUGGGCGUAAAGAGCUCGUAGGUGGUUUGUCGCGUUGUUCGUGAAAACUCACAGCUUAACUGUGGGCGUGCGGGCGAUACGGGCAGACUGGAGUACUGCAGGGGAGACUGGAAUUCCUGGUGUAGCGGUGGAAUGCGCAGAUAUCAGGAGGAACACCGGUGGCGAAGGCGGGUCUCUGGGCAGUAACUGACACUGAGGGACGAAAGCUAGGGGAGCGAAUGGG